rnacentral:rRNA from 1 species
ACACUCCUACGGGAGGCAGCAGUGGGGAAUUUUGGACAAUGGGCGAAAGCCUGAUCCAGCAAUGCCGCGUGAGUGAAGAAGGCCUCCGGGUUGUAAAGCUCUUUUGUCAGGGAAGAAACGGUGAGAGCUAAUAUCUUUUGCUAAUGACGGUACCUGAAGAAUAAGCACCGGCUAACUACGUGCCAGCAGCCGCGGUAAUACGUAGGGUGCAAGCGUUAAUCGGAAUUACUGGGCGUAAAGCGUGCGCAGGCGGUUUUGUAAGUCUGAUGUGAAAGCCCCGGGCUCAACCUGGGAAUUGCAUUGGAGACUGCAAGGCUAGAAUCUGGCAGAGGGGGGUAGAAUUCCACGUGUAGCAGUGAAAUGCGUAGAUAUGUGGAGGAACACCGAUGGCGAAGGCAGCCCCCUGGGUCAAGAUUGACGCUCAUGCACGAAAGCGUGGGGAGCAAACAGGAUUAGAUACCCGAGUAGUCCCAUGA